ACGUUGCCAUACGAUCACCGAAGUUAAGCAACGUCGGGCCUGGUCAGUACCUAGACGGGUGGCCGCUCGUGAAUACCAGGCGAUGUAA